rnacentral:rRNA from 1 species
CCUACGGGAUGCUGCAGUGAGGAAUAUUGGUCAAUGGUCGGGAGACUGAACCAGCCAAGCCGCGUGAGGGAUGAAGGUACAGAGUAUCGUAAACCUCUUUUGUCAGGGAACAAAGGCGGGGACGUGUCCCCGGAUGAGUGUACCUGAAGAAAAAGCAUCGGCUAACUCCGUGCCAGCAGCCGCGGUAACACGGAGGAAGCGAGCGUUAUCCGGAUUUAUUGGGUUUAAAGGGUGCGCAGGCGGUCUGUUAAGUCAGCGGUAAAAGCGCGGGGCUCAACCCCGGCCCGCCGUUGAAACUGGCAGUCUCGAGUUGGAGAGAAGUAUGCGGAAGGCGCGGUGUAGCGGUGAAAUGCAGAGAUAUCGCGCAGAACUCCGAUUGCGAAGGCAGCAUGCCGGCUCCACACUGACGCUGAGGCACGAAAGCGUGGGUAUCGAACAGGAUUAGAUACCCUUGUAGUC